rnacentral:rRNA from 1 species
AUUGAACGCUGGCGGCAGGCCUAACACAUGCAAGUCGAGCGGCAGCGGGAAGUAGCUGCUACUUUGCCGGCGAGCGGCGGACGGGUGAGUAAUGUCUGGGAAACUGCCUGAUGGAGGGGGAUAACUACUGGAAACGGUAGCUAAUACCGCAUAACGUCGCAAGACCAAAGAGGGGGACCUUCGGGCCUCUUGCCAUCAGAUGUGCCCAGAUGGGAUUAGCUAGUAGGUGGGGUAACGGCUCACCUAGGCGACGAUCCCUAGCUGGUCUGAGAGGAUGACCAGCCACACUGGAACUGAGACACGGGCCAGACUCCUACGGGAGGCAGCAGUGGGGAAUAUUGCACAAUGGGCGCAAGCCUGAUGCAGCCAUGCCGCGUGUAUGAAGAAGGCCUUCGGGUUGUAAAGUACUUUCAGCGGGGAGGAAGGUGUUGAGGUUAAUAACCUCAGCAAUUGACGUUACCCGCAGAAGAAGCACCGGCUAACUCCGUGCCAGCAGCCGCGGUAAGAC